rnacentral:rRNA from 1 species
UGACUGCGUACCUUUUGUAUAAUGGGUCAGCGACUUAUAUUCUGUAGCAAGGUUAACCGAAUAGGGGAGCCGGAGGGAAACCGAGUCUUAAUUGGGCGUUAAGUUGCAGGGUAUAGACCCGAAACCCGGUGAUCUAGCCAUGGGCAGGUUGAAGGUUGGGUAACACUAACUGGAGGACCGAACCGACUAAUGUUGAAAAAUUAGCGGAUGACCUGUGGCUGGGGGUGAAAGGCCAAUCAAACCGGGAGAUAGCUGGUUCUCCCCGAAAGCUAUUUAGGUAGCGCCUCGUGAAUUCAUCUCCGGGGGUAGAGCACUGUUUCGGCUAGGGGGCCAUCCCGGCUUACCAACCCGAUGCAAACUGCGAAUACCGGAGAAUGUUAUCACGGGAGACACACGGCGGGUGCUAACGUCCGUCGUGAAGAGGGAAACAACCCAGACCGCCAGCUAAGGUCCCAAAGUCAUGGUUAAGUGGGAAACGAUGUGGGAAGGCCCAGACAGCCAGGAUGUUGGCUUAGAAGCAGCCAUCAUUUAAAGAAAGCGUAAUAGCUCACUGGUCGAGUCGGCCUGCGCGGAAGAUGUAACGGGGCUAAACCAUGCACCGAAGCUGCGGCAGCGACACUGUGUGUUGUUGGGUAGGGGAGCGUUCUGUAAGCCUGUGAAGGUGUGUCGUGAGGCAUGCUGGAGGUAUCAGAAGUGCGAAUGCUGACAUAAGUAACGAUAAAGCGGGUGAAAAGCCCGCUCGCCGGAAGACCAAGGGUUCCUGUCCAACGUUAAUCGGGGCAGGGUGAGUCGACCCCUAAGGCGAGGCCGAAAGGCGUAGUCGAUGGGAAACGGGUUAAUAUUCCCGUACUUGGUGUUACUGCGAAGGGGGGACGGAGAAGGCUAUGUUGGCCGGGCGACGGUUGUCCCGGUUUAAGCGUGUAGGUGUGUGUUCCAGGUAAAUCCGGUUCACUUUAACACUGAGGCGUGACGACGAGGCACUACGGUGCUGAAGCAACAAAUGCCCUGCUUCCAGGAAAAGCCUCUAAGCAUCAGGUAACAUCAAAUCGUACCCCAAACCGACACAGGUGGUCAGGUAGAGAAUACCAAGGCGCUUGAGAGAACUCGGGUGAAGGAACUAGGCAAAAUGGUGCCGUAACUUCGGGAGAAGGCACGCUGACACGUAGGUGAAGUGAUUUACUCAUGGAGCUGAAGUCAGUCGAAGAUACCAGCUGGCUGCAACUGUUUAUUAAAAACACAGCACUGUGCAAACACGAAAGUGGACGUAUACGGUGUGACGCCUGCCCGGUGCCGGAAGGUUAAUUGAUGGGGUCAGCGCAAGCGAAGCUCCUGAUCGAAGCCCCGGUAAACGGCGGCCGUAACUAUAACGGUCCUAAGGUAGCGAAAUUCCUUGUCGGGUAAGUUCCGACCUGCACGAAUGGCGUAAUGAUGGCCAGGCUGUCUCCACCCGAGACUCAGUGAAAUUGAACUCGCUGUGAAGAUGCAGUGUACCCGCGGCAAGACGGAAAGACCCCGUGAACCUUUACUAUAGCUUGACACUGAACAUUGAGCCUUGAUGUGUAGGAUAGGUGGGAGGCUUUGAAGCGUGGACGCCAGUCUGCGUGGAGCCGACCUUGAAAUACCACCCUUUAAUGUUUGAUGUUCUAACGUGGACCCGUGAUCCGGGUUGCGGACAGUGUCUGGUGGGUAGUUUGACUGGGGCGGUCUCCUCCUAAAGAGUAACGGAGGAGCACGAAGGUUGGCUAAUCCUGGUCGGACAUCAGGAGGUUAGUGCAAUGGCAUAAGCCAGCUUGACUGCGAGCGUGACGGCGCGAGCAGGUGCGAAAGCAGGUCAUAGUGAUCCGGUGGUUCUGAAUGGAAGGGCCAUCGCUCAACGGAUAAAAGGUACUCCGGGGAUAACAGGCUGAUACCGCCCAAGAGUUCAUAUCGACGGCGGUGUUUGGCACCUCGAUGUCGGCUCAUCACAUCCUGGGGCUGAAGUAGGUCCCAAGGGUAUGGCUGUUCGCCAUUUAAAGUGGUACGCGAGCUGGGUUUAGAACGUCGUGAGACAGUUCGGUCCCUAUCUGCCGUGGGCGCUGGAGAACUGAGGGGGGCUGCUCCUAGUACGAGAGGACCGGAGUGGACGCAUCACUGGUGUUCGGGUUGUCAUGCC